rnacentral:rRNA from 1 species
UGGGGAAUAUUGGACAAUGGGCGCAAGCCUGAUCCAGCCAUGCCGCGUGAGUGAUGAAGGCCCUAGGGUUGCAAAGCUCUUUCACCGGUGAAGAUAAUGACGGUAACCGGAGAAGAAGCCCCGGCUAACUUCGUGCCAGCAGCCGCGGUAAUACGAAGGGGGCUAGCGUUGUUCGGAUUUACUGGGCGUAAAGCGCACGUAGGCGGACUAUUAAGUCAGGGGUGAAAUCCCGGGGCUCAACCCCGGAACUGCCUUUGAUACUGGUAGUCUUGAGUUCGAGAGAGGUGAGUGGAAUUCCGAGUGUAGAGGUGAAAUUCGUAGAUAUUCGGGGGAACACCAGUGGCGAAGGCGGCUCACUGGCUCGAUACUGACGCUGAGGUGCGAAAGCGUGGGGAGCAAACAGG